rnacentral:rRNA from 1 species
CAAAAACCCCGACUUCGGAAGGGGUGUAUUUAUUAGAUACAAAACCAAUGCCCUUCGGGGCUCUUUGGUGAUUCAUGAUAACUAUACGAAUCGCACGGCCUUGCGCCGGCGAUGGUUCAUUCAAAUUUCUUCCCUAUCAACUUUCGAUGUUUGGGUAUUGGCCAAACAUGGUUGCAACGGGUAACGGAGGGUUAGGGCUCGACCCCGGAGAAGGAGCCUGAGAAACGGCUACUACAUCCAAGGAAGGCAGCAGGCGCGCAAAUUACCCAAUCCCGACUCGGGGAGGUAGUGACAAUAAAUACUGAUACAGGGCCCUUUCGGGCCUUGUAAUUGGAAUGAGUACAAUUUAAAUCCCUUAACGAGGAACAAUUGGAGGGCAAGUCUGGUGCCAGCAGCCGCGGUAAUUCCAGCUCCAAUAGCGUAUAUUAAAGUUGUUGUGGUUAAAAAGCUCGUAGUUGAACCUUGGGCCUGGCUGGCCGGUCCGCCUCACCGCGUGCACUGGUCCGGCCGGGCCUUUCCCUCUGUGGAACCCCAUACCCUUCACUGGGCGUGGCGGGGAAACAGGACAUUUACUUU